UGGAAAGUUCAAACCGGACGUGUUGCUCGCGCCGCUGGCGGAGACCGCGGCGGAGGCUCUGCCCAAGUUCUCCGGGCCGAGCGCCCGGCGGCGUCCUGCGCCCGCGCCCCGCCGCCUCCAGCCACGCUCCCGGCUCGGGCUCCGCGCCCAGCGACCGCAGCAAGACUUGAAUGCAGCGAUCAUCUAAAUUAGAGAAAGGAGAUAAAAAUAACCUCUGGAUAUUCCUCUCGUGUGAUAUUUAUUCUGGAUGAAGCAUUAAGAUCUCUACUAGAGGUGUAUCACUGCAGUUUGCUGCCAGAAGUGUGCUUUGCUUCGAAAAGGU